rnacentral:rRNA from 1 species
GCAUAUCAAUAAGCGGAGGAAAAGAAAAUAACAAUGAUUUCCCUAGUAACGGCGAGUGAAGAGGAAAGAGCUCAAAGUUGGAACCUGUUUGGCCUAGCUAAACCGGAUUGUAGACUGUAGAAGUGUUUUCCAGGCAAGCCGAGUAAAUAAGUCCUUUGGAACAGGGCAUCAUAGAGGGUGAGAAUCCCGUCUUUGGCUUGAGCAUUUGCCUUUUGUGAUACGCUUUCAAAGAGUCAGGUUGUUUGGGAAUGCAGCCUAAAUUGGGUGGUAAAUCUCACCUAAAGCUAAAUAUUGGCGAGAAACCGAUAGCGAACAAGUACCGUGAGGGAAAGAUGAAAAGAACUUUGAAAAGAGAGUUAAACAGUAUGUGAAAUUGUUAAAAGGGAACCGUUUGGAGCCAGACUGGCUUGUCUGUAAUCAAUCUAGGCUUCGGCCUGGAUGCACUUGCAGGCUAUGCCUGCCAACGACAAUUUGACUUGAGGGAAAAAACUAGGGGAAAUGUGGCCCACUUGUGGGUGUUAUAGUCCCUUAGAAAAUACCUUGGGUUGGAUUGAGGAACGCAGCGAAUGCUUAUUGGCGAGUUUUCCAGGAAGGUUUUCUGAGGUACUACGGUAUCAAGGUUGAUCUUUUUGGUUAUACUUCUAUUCGCUUAGGUUGUUGGCUUAAUGACUCUAAAUGACCCGUCUUGAAACACGGACCAAGGAGUCCACCAUUAGUGCGAGUAUUUGGGUGCCAAACCCAUAUGCGUAAGGAAACUGAUUGAUACGAAUCCAUUAAGGAGGCAGUAUCGUCCGGCGCUGACGUUUUAUACUGAAUUGACCGAGACAAAGCACUAAUGAUGGGACCCGAAAGAUGGUGAACUAUGCCUGAAUAGGGUGAAGCCAGAGGAAACUCUGGUGGAGGCUCGUAGCGAUUCUGACGUGCAAAUCGAUCGUCAAAUUUGGGUAUAGGGGCGAAAGA